UACGAAGGGGGCUAGCGUUGCUCGGAAUCACUGGGCGUAAAGCGCACGUAGGCGGCUUUUUAAGUCAGGGGUGAAAUCCUGGAGCUCAACUCCAGAACUGCCUUUGAUACUGAGAAGCUUGAGUUCGGGAGAGGUGAGUGGAACUGCGAGUGUAGAGGUGAAAUUCGUAGAUAUUCGCAAGAACACCAGUGGCGAAGGCGGCUCGCUGGCCCGAUACUGACGCUGAGGCACGAAAGCGUGGGGAGCAAACAGG
rnacentral:rRNA from 1 species